ACCCAAUCAAGAAACAUUACCAUAACAGGGCAGUGUCCUUAUUUCUCUCUCCAUCCAAUUCUAUUUCAACUCCCAGGUGCGCGGGGAUUAGGGUUUUGCCCAAUCGGAGAGCGCCAGCCAGGAUACUCACCACCCCACGGACCACGAACUCACCACAACCCUAACUCUCCCUCGGCCUUAUCUUCCCCACUCCGAUUUGCUCCUUCAGGAGCAUAUUCAAUUAAAUUGAACAAAAAGAGGAGAGAAUCCUUGUUUUGCGGAGCCGAAAUUUCUUUGUGGAUCUCUCGUUCAAUCCGGUAAACUUGUUUUACUUUGAGUGCCCCAUAGCAUCAAAGGUGGAUUUUUUUGGGAGAACAGAAAAGGAAAUCUCCUAAUAAAACCCUUAGGCUACAGGCUACUUUCUUGAUCUGAAAGAAUUGUCUUUUCAUUUACUUGAUGCAAAUAGAUGGAUGCAGAUAACAAGAAAUUUGGGCGAGGUCCACGUGAGCUUUCAGGUUCUGUGGACCUUAUACGUCAUUUCAAGUUGCAGCCUCAUCAUGAAUUCUUCUGCAAGAAUUCACUUCCAUUGUCAGUAUCAGAUACAUAUUAUCUGCAUGAUGUAGUGGGAGAUGCAGAAAUUAGGAAAGGGGAUGGAAUGCAAUUGGAUCAACUUAUUGAGGAUACUUCUUCAAGAGAGACAAAUGCUCGGAUUCAACCAUUUAAUCUAGAUGUUCUGGUAGAGGCCUUUCAACUGAGGGAAACAGCUCCAAUUGAUCUCCCCCUGUCUGAGAAGGGCAUUCCAACUAUAGUGGCAAAAUCUAAGAGUGAGUCUAAGGAGAAGGAUAAAAAGCAUAAAAAACACAAGGACAAGGACAAGGACAAGGAGAAAGAUAAAGAGCAUAAGAAGCACAAGCAUCGUCACAAAGAUCGGAGUAAAGAUAAGGACAAAGAUAAAAAGAAAGACAAAAGUGGGCAUCAUGAGUCUGGUGCUGAGCAUUCAAAGAAACAUCAUGAGAAGAAAAGGAAGCAUGAAGGAGACGAAGACCUCAAUGAUGUUCAGAAACACAAAAAAAGCAAGCACAAGAGCUCAAAGAUUGAUGAAAUGGGUGCAAUAAAGGUAGCAGGAUAAAGUGGCAUGUGGUUCUAUUGUUUAAUUUGUCCUCAGAUUUUGAACUUGAGAGUUUGGAAGGAUCCUUUACUUACUAUUAUGAAAUUAUCUGAGAAAUUUCAAGAUAAUAUUACACUCUCACAGUCUUAACUAAACACACAAGAAUAGUUUGUGAGCUAACUAAAGAUCGCCAAGACGGUGAAUCCAACUGUUGAAGUAGAUUUAGUUCAAGGUACAAACUACUGAAAAGAACAUUGUGUCAUAACAAGUUCUCCCAUUCAAAACAUAAUCCCAUCGUAUGGUUCUAAUGGCAUAUUGGAUAUCACAGCCUUUUACUGUUGCAUAUGUUUUUGCCCUUUUCAUGGUAAAUCUGAUUUCAAGUCUUACUAAUAGGUCUAACAAGUUUGCAGCUUUGCAUAGUAAAAAGAGGAUGCUCAGUUGAGUGUUUCUAUUCAUCAUUUGUCUUUCCUUUGAGCUUGAAGCUGGCUUCUGAUCUUCAAAUGUUAGGUGGGAUUCAUAUAGAGGUUUUGUCUCUACUGAUAUCAUUAUAAUAGGACCUUCUAACGAUGGGAAUAGGAAUUCUUUCUGUAUAUACUAGGAAGAAAUGAAACUCAAGUUAUUCUUUCUCAUAUAUUCAGUAGGGAGAAUGGCAUCAGUUUAACAUCUGUUUCCAAUCAUAAUAGUUCAAAUCUGAAUCUGUAAAUCUGUGUAAAAUUUUGGCACUUGAGCCCGGUUGCCUCUACUUGAGAUGCAUGCUCCUAAGUCCUAGCAUGACUUAAACCUAGGUUGUUAUAGAAGUAGCGGUUGUUGCUGUACGUUUACUAUUUUCUUCGUGGGAAUGGCUGUAGUGGGGCUUCAGUUUUUAUUGGCCCUGAUGAAAUCCAUAAAUUUACUAGAUAUAUUUGUAUGAUGUAGGGGAACUUAUAAUGUCUUAUGGCUCUGUGUUUUGUACUUAGUAAAGUUGUAUUUCUUAUUUUGUUAGAGGUAUGUACUACCGGAGGAUACAAUUCUAUCAAUCAUAGCUUUGCUGAAAAUUUUCCUUGUAUUAAGUUGGGAGAAUUAAAUUUUAUAUAGUUUAGGUGUGUGGUAGUACUUCUCAUGUGCCUUCUGGGUUUGGACUAUGGAGUUUAUGUCAUGAAAACUGAAGAUACUGGGCAGAAUGACAAAUAUGAUUAUGUUCCUUGUAUAUAGAGCACAAUGAGUUUGUUUAUUAAAUGAAUUGCUUUAUAAAA